rnacentral:rRNA from 1 species
GAUGAACGCUGGCGGCGUGCCUAAUACAUGCAAGUCGAGCGAACAGACGAGGAGCUUGCUCCUCUGACGUUAGCGGCGGACGGGUGAGUAACACGUGGAUAACCUACCUAUAAGACUGGGAUAACUUCGGGAAGCCGGAGCUAAUACCGGAUAACAUGUUGAACCGCAUGGUUUAACAGUGAAAGACGGUCUUGCUGUCACUUAUAGAUGGAUCCGCGCCGCAUUAGCUAGUUGGUAAGGUAACGGCUUACCAAGGCAACGAUGCGUAGCCGACCUGAGAGGGUGAUCGGCCACACUGGAACUGAGACACGGUCCAGACUCCUACGGGAGGCAGCAGUAGGGAAUCUUCCGCAAUGGGCGAAAGCCUGACGGAGCAACGCCGCGUGAGUGAAGAAGGUCUUCGGAUCGUAAAACUCUGUUAUUAGGGAAGAACAAAUGUGUAAGUAACUAUGCACGUCUUGACGGUACCUAAUCAGAAAGCCACGGCUAACUACGUG